ACGGGAGGCAGCAGUGGGGAAUAUUGCACAAUGGGGGAAACCCUGAUGCAGCGACGCCGCGUGAGUGAAGAAGUAUUUCGGUAUGUAAAGCUCUAUCAGCAAGGAAGAAAAUGACGGUACUUGACUAAGAAGCCCCGGCUAACUACGUGCCAGCAGCCGCGGUAAUACGUAGGGGGCAAGCGUUAUCCGGAUUUACUGGGUGUAAAGGGAGCGUAGACGGUGAGGCAAGUCUGAAGUGAAAUGCGGAGGCUCAACCUCCGAACUGCUUUGGAAACUGUCUAACUUGAGUGCAGGAGAGGUAAGUGGAAUUCCUAGUGUAGCGGUGAGAUGCGUAGAUAUUAGGAGGAACACCAGUGGCGAAGGCGGCUUACUGGACUGUAACUGACGUUGAGGCUCGAAAGCGUGGGGAGCAAACAGGAUUAGAUACCCUGGUA
rnacentral:rRNA from 1 species